GGCAGCCCUGGGAAGGCUCCCUGGUCCAAGGACCACAGGAUCCUUACGCUAAAGCAGUUGCGAUGAAACUCACCCUGACGGUGGAAACGACAGCUCAUCCUCACGGGUGUGGGACCAAGGACAGAACCAGGAGUCGCUGCUCUGCUCGCCGGAGGGAAACGCACACCUGACUGCUUCGCCCACCCUGUAUUGACUGUGUCCUGGCUCCUUCGCCCACCCCGUACUGAUUGUGUCGAAGGUAAAUGUGCAGAUUCACUGAGCGUGAGCCGUGAGGGGUUCUUCCUUUACCCCCAUGUGUAACACACGGGUUCAGUGAAUGCUGAUCAAACACUGCCUGCCUCUUAUCUGCCCUCCCUCUUCUUUCUCUUUCUUUCUUCCCCUAAUACUCACGCUUUACUCUCUGAAUAUUCAAGUUCUCAGCCUUCUUUGAGAAGAAAAGCUGGACCACAGGAGUUUCCCGUGGUUCUGUGUUAGGCGUAUCCUUAACCUCGGCAAAUAAAC
rnacentral:lncRNA from 1 species